CAAAGGUGUGAGUCCGCCUGGGGAUGGGCCCGCGUCCUAUUAGCUUGUUGGUGGGGUAAUGGCCUACCAAGGCUGAGAUGGGUACCGGGUGUGAGAGCAUGACCCGGCUCACUGGGACUGAGACACUGCCCAANACACCUACGGGUGGCUGCAGUCGAGAAUCUUCGGCAAUGGGCGCAAGCCUGACCGAGCGACGCCGCGUGCGGGAUGAAGGCCUUCGGGUUGUAAACCGCUGUCAGCAGGGAGGAAAUGCAUGGGGGCUCACCCCCAUGUUUGACCGAUCUGCAGAGGAAGUCCGGGCUAAGUUCGUGCCAGCAGCCGCGGUAAGACGAACCGGACGAACGUUAUUCGGAAUUACUGGGCUUAAAGAGUGCGUAGGCGGCUUGGCAGGUUGGGUGUGAAAUCCCCUCGGCUCAACCGAGGAACUGCGCUCAAAACCGCCAGGCUUGAGGNAGACAAGGGGUGAGCGGAACUGAUGGUUGGANCGGUGAAAUUGCGUUUGAAUAUCAUUCAGG
rnacentral:rRNA from 1 species